rnacentral:rRNA from 2 species
UAAUUGAAGAGUUUGAUCAUGGCUCAGAUUGAACGCUGGCGGCAGGCCUAACACAUGCAAGUCGAGCGGCAGCACA